rnacentral:rRNA from 1 species
AGAGUUUGAUCCUGGCUCAGAUUGAACGCUGGCGGCAUGCCUUACACAUGCAAGUCGAACGGUAACAGGUCUUCGGAUGCUGACGAGUGGCGAACGGGUGAGUAAUACAUCGGAACGUGCCCAGUAAUGGGGGAUAGCUCGGCGAAAGCCGGAUUAAUACCGCAUACGCCCUGAGGGGGAAAGUGGGGGAUCGCAAGACCUCACGUUAUUGGAGCGGCCGAUGGCUGAUUAGCUAGUUGGUAGGGUAAAGGCCUACCAAGGCGACGAUCAGUAGCUGGUCUGAGAGGACGAUCAGCCACACUGGGACUGAGACACGGCCCAGACUCCUACGGGAGGCAGCAGUGGGGAAUUUUGGACAAUGGGGGAAACCCUGAUCCAGCAAUGCCGCGUGUGCGAAGAAGGCCUUCGGGUUGUAAAGCACUUUUGUCAGGGAAGAAAUCCUUUGGGCUAAUACCCUAGGGGGAUGACGGUACCUGAAGAAUAAGCACCGGCUAACUACGUGCCAGCAGCCGCGGUAAUACGUAGGGUGCAAGCGUUAAUCGGAAUUACUGGGCGUAAAGCGUGCGCAGGCGGUUGUGUAAGACAGGUGUGAAAUCCCCGGGCUUAACCUGGGAAUUGCAUUUGUGACUGCACGACUAGAGUGUGUCAGAGGGGGGUGGAAUUCCACGUGUAGCAGUGAAAUGCGUAGAUAUGUGGAGGAACACCAAUGGCGAAGGCAGCCCCCUGGGAUAACACUGACGCUCAUGCACGAAAGCGUGGGGAGCAAACAGGAUUAGAUACCCUGGUAGUCCACGCCCUAAACGAUGUCAACUAGUUGUUGGGGAUUUACUUCCUUGGUAACGUAGCUAACGCGUGAAGUUGACCGCCUGGGGAGUACGGCCGCAAGGUUAAAACUCAAAGGAAUUGACGGGGACCCGCACAAGCGGUGGAUGAUGUGGAUUAAUUCGAUGCAACGCGAAAAACCUUACCUACCCUUGACAUGGCAGGAACUUUCCAGAGAUGGAUUGGUGCUCGAAAGAGAACCUGCACACAGGUGCUGCAUGGCUGUCGUCAGCUCGUGUCGUG